rfam:Triticum aestivum genome assembly, contig: Triticum_aestivum_CS42_TGACv1_scaffold_379003_5AL
UUAAUACUCCCUCCGUCCGAAAAUACUUGUCAUCAAAAUGGACAAAAAAGGAUGUAUGUAGAACUAAAAUACAUUUAGAUACAUCUUCUUUUAUCCAUUUUGAUGACAAGUAUUUUAGGACGGAGGGAGGGAGUAUAAU